UUAAUUGAUAAUGCAAAUGCUACUAACCCUUGUUGUGAGCAUGUGCAUCUUGUGGAGGAGAAUGCCAAGUUGAAGGAACAACUCGAGAAAGGUCUUGUGUCAUGCAUACAAGGCGAGAAGAACCUAAAUGACCUUUUGAGCAAUCAAAAGGAAGUUGUGGGCAAGGAGGGAGUUGGGUUAUCACCCAAGUCCAAGAACAAGAAGAAGAACAAGGAGAAGAAGAGCAAGACCGAUCGACCUCCUCCGCUCGCGCAAACCUUUGUGAAGGAGGGAGAAGGUGCUCCUAAGGAGAAGAAGAACAAUGGGAAGAGUGGUGAUGCCAAAGAGCGCAAAGCCAUCUCUCCCAACAAAGCCGGCGACUUUAACCCAUCUUAUGUGUUGUGCCGUGCUAGUGAUGGGCAUGUUUAUGCUAAAUUUGUUGGUUCUCCUUAUGAGUACAUUGAAUGGUCUAUUUGGGUUCCUAAGACCCUUGUUACUAAC
rnacentral:rRNA from 1 species